UGCUGACUUCAGGAGAGCAACCGACU
rnacentral:piRNA from 1 species